rnacentral:rRNA from 1 species
UGAGCAAUCUGCCCUUCUCUUCGGAAUAAGCGUUGGAAACGACGUCUAAUGCCGAAUACGACCUCCUUUCGCAUGAUCGGAGGUGGAAAGCUCCGGCGGAGAAGGAUGAGCUCGCGGCCUAUCAGCUAGUUGGUGUGGGUAAUGGCCCACAAGGCGACGACGGGUAGCCGGCCUGAGAGGGUGACCGGCCACACUGGGACUGAGACACGGCCCAGACCUCCGUACGGGAGGCAGCG